rnacentral:rRNA from 1 species
GAAUUCGGGUUUGAUUUCGGAGAGGGAGCCUGAGAAAUGGCUACCACAUCCAAGGAAGGCAGCAGGCGCGUAAAUUACCCAAUCCUAACAUAGGGAGGUAGUGACAACAAAUAACAAUGUGGAGCUUUUUAAGUUCUGCAAUUGGAAUGAGUGACAAUUAAAAUUCGUUUACAAAAGCUAGUAGUGGGCAAGUAUGGUGCCAGCAGCCGCGGUAAUACCAUCAUUACAAGCGUAUAUUAAAAUUGUUGCAUUUAAAAAGCUCGUAGUUGAAUAAUAGAUAGAAGAAAUGUGAGGCAGUUUGCCGAGCUGAUCUUUCUAUCUUUUGUUCUACAGCAAUGUAGAACCAUUUACUGUGAAAAAAUUAGAGUGUUUAAAGCAAAUUGUAUGAUAUUGAAUAUUAUUAGCAUGGAAUAAUAAUAUAUGAUUAUGAUUAUAUAUUAUGGUAGUAUAAUCGUAAUAAUGA